AUUGAACGCUGGCGGCAUGCUUUACACAUGCAAGUCGAACGGUAACAGGCCUUCGGGCGCUGACGAGUGGCGAACGGGUGAGUAAUGCAUCGGAACGUGCCCAGUCGUGGGGGAUAACGCAGCGAAAGCUGUGCUAAUACCGCAUACGAUCUGCGGAUGAAAGCGGGGGACCUUCGGGCCUCGCGCGAUUGGAGCGGCCGAUGUCAGAUUAGGUAGUUGGUGGGGUAAAGGCUAACCAAGCCAACGAUCUGUAGCUGGUCUGAGAGGACGACCAGCCACACUGGGACUGAGACACGGCCCAGACUCCUACGGGAGGCAGCAGUGGGGAAUUUUGGACAAUGGGCGCAAGCCUGGUCCAGCAAUGCCGCGUGCAGGAAGAAGGCCUUCGGGUUGUAAACUGCUUUUGUACGGAGCGAAAAGGCUCCCUCUAAUACAGGGGGCUCAUGACGGUACCGUAAGGAUAAGCACCGGCUAACUACGUGCCAGCCGCCGCCGUAAUAC
rnacentral:rRNA from 1 species